rnacentral:rRNA from 1 species
GAUGAACGCUGGCGGCGUGCCUAAUACAUGCAAGUCGAGCGAAUGGAUUAAGAGCUCGCUCUUAUGAAGUUAGCGGCGGACGGGUGAGUAACACGUGGGUAACCUGCCCAUAAGACUGGGAUAACUCCGGGAAACCGGGGCUAAUACCGGAUAACAUUUUGAACCGCAUGGUUCGAAAUUGAAAGGCGGCUUCGGCUGUCACUUAUGGAUGGACCCGCGUCGCAUUAGCUAGUUGGGGAGGUAACGGCUGACCAAGGCAACGAUGCGUAGCCGACCUGAGAGGGUGAUCGGCCACACUGGGACUGGGCCACGGCCCAGACUCCUACGGGAGGCAGCAGUAGGGAAUCUUCCGCAAUGGACGAAAGUCUGACGGAGCAACGCCGCGUGAGUGAUGAAGGCUUUCGGGUCGUAAAACUCUGUUGUUAGGGAAGAACAAGUGCUAGUUGAAUAAGCUGGCACCUUGACGGUACCUAACCAGAAAGCCACGGCUAACUACGUGCCAGCAGCCGCUGUAA